rnacentral:lncRNA from 1 species
GGAGGAGGAGCGGGUGUUGAUGGUGGUGUUGAAGCUGGAAGAGGGGGCGGGGCAGGUGGAGAAGAUGGUGCCACCCUCUUCCUUUUCGUGACAAGGCCAUCCUCUGUGACCUCGUCGUCCUCUUCCUCAUCCUCUUGGACAACUUGGGGGGCUUUCCGCUUUGGCCUCUUAAGGACCAGUUUCUUUCGUUGGGUGGGCGCCUUGGGCGGUGAUCGCCCCUGGAUGAUGGCCUUCUCGACCGCCGAGUUGGGAAC